AGAGUUGUAUCCUGGCUCAGAUUGAACGCUGGCGGCAUGCCUUACACAUGCAAGUCGAACGGCAGCACGGGAGCAAUCCUGGUGGCGAGUGGCGAACGGGUGAGUAAUAUAUCGGAACGUGCCCAGUCGUGGGGGAUAACGUAGCGAAAGCUACGCUAAUACCGCAUACGAUCUAUGGAUGAAAGCGGGGGAUCGCAAGACCUCGCGCGAUUGGAGCGGCCGAUGUCAGAUUAGGUAGUUGGUGAGGUAAAGGCUCACCAAGCCGACGAUCUGUAGCUGGUCUGAGAGGACGACCAGCCACACUGGGACUGAGACACGGCCCAGACUCCUACGGGAGGCAGCAGUGGGGAAUUUUGGACAAUGGGCGCAAGCCUGAUCCAGCAAUGCCGCAUGCAGGAUGAAGGCCUUCGGGUUGUAAACUGCUUUUGUACGGAACGAAACGGCGAGCUCUAAUACAGCUUGCUAAUGACGGUACCGUAAGAAUAAGCACCGGCUAACUACGUGCCAGCAGCCGCGGUAAUACGUAGGGUGCGAGCGUUAAUCGGAAUUACUGGGCGUAAAGCGUGCGCAGGCGGUGAUGUAAGACAGAUGUGAAAUCCCCGGGCUCAACCUGGGACCUGCAUUUGUGACUGCAUCGCUAGAGUACGGUAGAGGGGGAUGGAAUUCCGCGUGUAGCAGUGAAAUGC
rnacentral:rRNA from 1 species